CCUACGGGGGGCAGCAGUGGGGAAUAUUGCACAAUGGGGGAAACCCUGAUGCAGCGACGCCGCGUGAGUGAAGAAGUAUUUCGGUAUGUAAAGCUCUAUCAGCAGGGAAGAAAAAAGACGGUACCUGACUAAGAAGCCCCGGCGAACUACGUGCCAGCAGCCGCGGUAAUACGUAGGGGGCAAGCGUUAGCCGGAUUUACUGGGUGUAAAGGGAGCGUAGACGGCUCGGCAAGUCUGAAGUGAAAGGCAGGGGCUUAACCCCUGAACUGCUUUGGAAACUGCCAUGCUAGAGUGCUGGAGAGGUAAGUGGAAUUCCUAGUGUAGCGGUGAAAUGCGUAGAUAUUAGGAGGAACUCCGAUUGCGAAGGCAGCAUACCGGCGCUCAACUGACGCUCAUGCACGAAAGCGUGGGUAUCGAACAGGAUUAGAUACCCUUGUAGUC
rnacentral:rRNA from 1 species